UGAGGAAAACACCAUACAAUCAAGCAGCAUCAGACACCAGGAGGAUCCUGUGUUUUGCUGAUACCUUCUUUUGCACCAGCUGGGGCAACUUCUAAACCUGGAACAACAUUGCUGAGAGAAAAAAGACCUUCCUUCCUGUAAGCUGCUGAGUACACUGCCUCCAAAUAUGGCAAACAGGCAUAGCUUCACCUCUACACAUGAAUGGCGUUGGGUUUCUGCUGGAGAUGGGAUAUCAGUGAUCAAGCUUUCAGAAGAGACUAGCAAGUUUUGGAUGCCUUAGUUAUUGGGGACCCGAUUUAAUGGAACCUGAUUUUUCAGAACAUGCUGGGCAUCUACCCUUUGAAACCAGAACCAUUUAAAGUGUCUCGAGUUGGAUACCUCGAAAGGGAAGCAACCUAAAUGACUCAUCGCUUCUGAAAAUCUUGGCCCUCCUUCCUACUUCAGUCUGUAGAAGCAGAGAAUGAAAAAACCUUCUGUUGUAAGUUAGAAGAACAAUCCAUGAAUGGCUUUAACAUCCUCUGCCCUCCUCUUUCAUAGCUACUGUGUAUCUCUGUUUUACUAAGUUAUUUAAACUGAGACUAAAUUUCUUCCCAGGCUCCUGGCCCCUCAUGGCAUGUUUUCUCUGUUGGAGAUUCAGUCCUUGUACAUCAUGUAGUAAAUAUAAAAAAGUAGGUUUACAGACCAGUGAAUAGAGAAAUCUCUUUCCAGGUCAAUGCAAGAAAUUAUAGAGCCUUGGAAAGCCCUAGUUUUAUCUCCUGCCAAAGGAGGGAUUAAGGCACAAUGAU